rnacentral:lncRNA from 1 species
CUGUCCUGGGCCUUCUGGUGAAUGACCCACCACGCUGAUGCAGCCCUCUCCCCAGAGACCCCCUAUUGUCCUUCUCCUCAGUCAGUAGCCAUCUGUUCAUAUGGCAAAUUGUUCAAAUCCUCGAAUGCAUUGGAAGGCAUUUUUCAAGGAUUAUAUCCAAAUGUUUUAAAUUGACCAUUCAGUGAAGAAUGAGAAUGGUGUAGCCACACUGGUUAAGUAUCUACUCUGUAGGAAAUAUUGUUGUGUUUAUGUGUGUAGAUUUCCCUGCUCUGACUUUGAAGGGAAAAAAUAAUUUGUGUUCAUUCACAGGAGAAUCUUGACAGUGAAAGUGUCUCACUGUGCUACAGCUACAAGAUGUUGAGGAGC